UGACGAAGAAGCUUGCUUCUUCUGAUUUAGCGGCGGACGGGUGAGUAACACGUGGGCAACCUACCUUGUAGAUUGGGAUAACUCCGGGAAACCGGGGCUAAUACCGAAUAAUCCAUUUCCUCUCAUGGGGAGAUGUUAAAAGACGGCAUCUCGCUGUCACUACAGGAUGGGCCCGCGGCGCAUUAGCUAGUUGGUGAGGUAACGGCUCACCAAGGCGACGAUGCGUAGCCGACCUGAGAGGGUGAUCGGCCACACUGGGACUGAGACACGGCCCAGACUCCUACGGGAGGCAGCAGUAGGGAAUCUUCCACAAUGGACGAAAGUCUGAUGGAGCAAUGCCGCGUGAGUGAAGAAGGUUUUCGGA
rnacentral:rRNA from 1 species